GUCUAUGGCCAUGCCACUCUGAACAAGCCCGAUCUAAUAUGAUCUUGGAAGCUAAGCAGAGUUAGGCCUGGCUAGUACUUGGAUGGGAGACCACCUAAGAAGACCAGGUGCUAUAGGUG
rnacentral:rRNA from 1 species